AGAGUUUGAUCCUGGCUCAGGACGAACGCUGGCGGCGUGCUUAACACAUGCAAGUCGAACGAGACGAUUGAAAGCUUGCUUUUGAAAGUCGAGUGGCAAACGGGUGAGUAACGCGUAGACAACCUGCCGUAAAGAUGGGGACAACAGUCCGAAAGGACUGCUAAUACCGAAUGUUGUGGAACUUCCGCAUGGGAGCUCCACUAAAGAUGGCCUCUACUUGUAAGCUAUCGCUUUACGAUGGGUCUGCGUCUGAUUAGCUAGUUGGUGGGGUAACGGCUUACCAAGGCGACGAUCAGUAGCCGGUCUGAGAGGAUGAACGGCCACAUUGGAACUGAGACACGGUCCAGACUCCUACGGGAGGCAGCAGUGGGGAAUCUUCCGCAAUGGGCGCAAGCCUGACGGAGCAACGCCGCGUGAGUGAAGAAGGGUUUCGACUCCUAAAGCUCUGUUUGUCGGGGACGAUUGUGGAGGUUGUGAAUACAGCUUCCAAUGACAGUACCUGACGAAGGAAGCCCGGCUAACUACNUGNCAGCANCCGCGGNAAUACGUAGNNGG
rnacentral:rRNA from 1 species